UACGGAGGGUGCAAGCGUUAUCCGGAUUCACUGGGUUUAAAGGGUGCGUAGGUGGACAAAUAAGUCAGUGGUGAAAUCCCUGAGCUUAACUCAGGAACUGCCAUUGAUACUAUUUGUCUUGAAUAUCGUGGAGGUGAGCGGAAUAUGUCAUGUAGCGGUGAAAUGCUUAGAUAUGACAUAGAACACCAAUUGCGAAGGCAGCUCACUACACGAAUAUUGACACUGAGGCACGAAAGCGUGGGGAUCAAACAGG
rnacentral:rRNA from 1 species